UCCUCGGUAGUAUAGUGGUGAGUAUCCCCGCCUGUCACGCGGGAGACCGGGGUUUUAAUUCCCCGCCGGGGAG
rfam:Nematostella vectensis strain CH2 x CH6 NEMVEscaffold_9_Cont1981, whole genome shotgun sequence.